rnacentral:rRNA from 1 species
AGUAACGUUGUUUCGGGACGCGGGUGAUAACGCGUGAGAAUCUGCCUAUAGGUUCGGGACAACAUUGGGAAACUGAUGCUAAUACCGGAUGUGCCGAGAGGUGAAAGAUUAAUUGCCUAUAGAUGAGCUCGCGUCUGAUUAGCUAGUUGGAGUGGUAACGGCACACCAAGGCAACGAUCAGUAACUGGUCUGAGAGGAUGACCAGUCACACUGGGACUGAGACACGGCCCAGACUCCUACGGGAGGCAGCAGUGGGGAAUUUUCCGCAAUGGGCGAAAGCCUGACGGAGCAAUACCGCGUGAGGGAGGACGGCUUUUGGGUUGUAAACCUCUUUUAUUGGGGAAGAAGAACUGACGGUACCCAAUGAAUCAGCAUCGGCUAACUCCGUGCCAGCAGCCGCGGUAAUACGGAGGAUGCAAGCGUUAUCCGGAAUUAUUGGGCGUAAAGGGUCCGCAGGUGGCCGUUCAAGUCUGCUGUUAAAGCGUGGAGCUUAACUCCAUAAAGGCAGUGGAAACUGAGAGGCUAGAGUUCGGUAGGGGUCACGGGAAUUCCCAGUGUAGCGGUGAAAUGCGUAGAUAUUGGGAAGAACACCGGCGGCGAAAGCGCGUGACUGGGCUGAGACUGACACUGAGGGACGAAAGCUAGGGGAGCGAAAGGGAUUAGAUACCCUG